GAGCGUCGUUUGCGACGCCCAACACACAAAACAAGCGGUGAGUGCUUUGGGGUGGGGUGACUGCGUACCUUUUGUAUAAUGGGUCAGCGACUUAUAUUCUGUAGCAAGGUUAACCGUAUAGGGGAGCCGAAGGGAAACCGAGUCUUAACUGGGCGUUAAGUUGCAGGGUAUAGACCCGAAACCCGGUGAUCUAGCCAUGGGCAGGUUGAAGGUUGGGUAACACUAACUGGAGGACCGAACCGACUAAUGUUGAAAAAUUAGCGGAUGACUUGUGGCUGGGGGUGAAAGGCCAAUCAAACCGGGAGAUAGCUGGUUCUCCCCGAAAGCUAUUUAGGUAGCGCCUCGUGAACUCAUCUUCGGGGGUAGAGCACUGUUUCGGCUAGGGGGUCAUCCCGACUUACCAACCCGAUGCAAACUGCGAAUACCGAAGAAUGUUAUCACGGGAGACACACGGCGGGUGCUAACGUCCGUCGUGAAGAGGGAAACAACCCAGACCGCCAGCUAAGGUCCCAAAGUCACAGUUAAGUGGGAAACGAUGUGGGAAGGCUCAGACAGCCAGGAUGUUGGCUUAGAAGCAGCCAUCAUUUAAAGAAAGCGUAAUAGCUCACUGGUCGAGUCGGCCUGCGCGGAAGAUGUAACGGGGCUAAACUGUGCACCGAAGCUGCGGCAGCGACGCUUAUGCGUUGUUGGGUAGGGGAGCGUUCUGUAAGCCUGCGAAGGUGUCCUGUGAGGGAUGCUGGAGGUAUCAGAAGUGCGAAUGCUGACAUAAGUAACGAUAA
rnacentral:rRNA from 2 species